rnacentral:rRNA from 1 species
GGCGAACGCUGGCGGCGUGCUUAACACAUGCAAGUCGAACGGAAAGGCCCUGCUUUUGUGGGGUGCUCGAGUGGCGAACGGGUGAGUAACACGUGAGUAACCUGCCCUUGACUUUGGGAUAACUUCAGGAAACUGGGCCUAAUACCGGAUAGGAGCUCCUGCUGCAGGGUGGGGGUUGGAAAGUUUCGGCGGUUGGGGAUGGACUCGCGGCUUAUCAGCUUGUUGGUGGGGUAGUGGCUUACCAAGGCUUUGACGGGUAGCCGGCCUGAGAGGGUGACCGGCCACAUUGGGACUGAGAUACGGCCCAGACUCCUACGGGAGGCAGCAGUGGGGAAUAUUGCACAAUGGGCGGAAGCCUGAUGCAGCAACGCCGCGUGCGGGAUGACGGCCUUCGGGUUGUAAACCGCUUUCGCCUGUGACGAAGCGUGAGUGACGGUAAUGGGUAAAGAAGCACCGGCUAACUACGUG